rnacentral:rRNA from 1 species
CAAUAGCGUAUAUUAAAGUUGUUGCGGUUAAAAAGCUCGUAGUUGGAGUUCUGCCAGGUGCCGUCUGUCUGCCCCAGUGGUUUGCACGUGACGCGCAUGUGGCCCUCUCGAGGGGAGCGUUUCUGCACUUGAUUGUGUGGUAUGGGAUCCUUGACUUUUACUUUGAGGAAAUAAGAGUGUUCCAAGCAGGCACAUGUCGUGCAUAGCUCAGCAUGGAAUAAUAGCAUUGGACCUCGAUUCCCAGCUGUUGGUUGUCGGAGCGAGGUAAUGAUGAAGAGGGAUAAUCGGGGGCAUUCGUAUUUAACUGUCAGAGGUGAAAUUCUUGGAUUUGUUAAAGACGGACCACUGCGAAAGCAUCUGCCAUGGAUGUUUUCAUUGAUCAAGAACGAAAGUUAGGGGAUCGAAGAUGAUCAGAUACCGU